rnacentral:lncRNA from 1 species
GAGAAAUAGCCAAUGAUCAGUUCAUGUACCUUGAGAAUCUCAUAUAAGUAUAAGACUUCCAAAACUUCUACAUUCCAAAGCAAAUAAUGUAGAUCUAAGAGAUUGUGCCAAACAUUGCUAAACCAAUGGGAAAAAAAUUAAAAAAUUUCAGCUAGGAAACAGCCAAAUACGACAUCAAGAAAAAGGGCUUGGCAAACAUGUAAUCUAGCAUGUAUAUCAUCAUCAAAAUUUGCAACAAGCAUCAGAGAUACCACAAUAUCAUACAGCAGAACCUGGCCAUCAUAGCGUUGACUCAAAGAACUUCAACCUGAAAUCAUCAGCUAUCAACAACUAGAAAUAAAUGAUGCACCACAAGUCUAAAACCAAAUGUCUUCCAAUUUAACAAAAUGGUAGAAACUCAUCGUAGCAAGAUCCUCUCCAAAUAAAUGAACUUAAACGAAGAGCAUAACACAAGCCCUAUUACCGUGAUAUUAAAGCAUGGCAUAAGCGUACGUUUAGACUAAAUCACAGCACUGUGCAUGACCCGCCAAGGGGCAACUAAGUUGCCAAAAUUUCAGAAUACCAAGAAUGCAUUAAGAAAAACCUCAAAUUUUCUUGUGGACAGCCGAAAAACGUCUGCGAAUCGGAUCACAACAAAUCUAGCAAGAUUUCAACCGGGAGAGUAGCAAGAUCCAUGCAAUUCUCAACUGGAUCCAGCAUCGAACAGAGUAGCUUCACCAAGGGUGGAUCUCUUUUGGCAAAAGAUUAACGGCCAAAGGAAACCCUACCGGAUCUGUGAAAGAUAGAGAGGAUUCGACCACCUCAGUGAUUCGGGAAAAGGAGAAGAGAGAGGACAUGCUCGACGGAGAGGGUGCAGUUUCCAUCAAAUUCAUCGAGAAGGAAGAGGAGCUAGAUCCCUGCAAUUCUCAACUGGAUCCAGCCUCGAACAGAGUAACAACACCGAGAUCGGAUCUUUUGGGCAAAAUAUUAACG